rnacentral:tRNA from 3 species
GGAUCGGUAGCUCAGCGGUAGAGCAAACGCCUCUUAAGCGUAAGGUCGUGGGUUCGAUCCCCACCCGGUCCA